UAUAAAUUUUAGAGAUCCAAAUGUCAGCCUCAAACACACUCGUUUACGAGUGAUAAUCGGAUAUCUGCGGGGUAGAAUUGGCGGGUAGAAUUGGCUAAAGAAAAUGACAGAAAUGGGAUGUUCUUUGGCAAUACCGAAUGAUUUAUAUAAAAAAUUGAGAGAAACGAAUUCUCUCACUGAUUCUACUAAUCCUGACUGAGAUAUAUUGAAAUUGGGAGUAGAAAAGGAAAUAAUAAAACCUGAAAAGUCUAAACUGUCAAAUGUUUCCGUAAAGUUUAUUCAUGACAUUUCAUUUCACGAAGCCCCAUUUUAAAACUCUUUCAAGUAACAUAGAAAUGUAGAAGCUAUGAAGGAAUAGCAAGGAUGUUCUGCCUUUUAUCAAGUUUUAUCUUCAUAAACAAAACUCCGUUAAAAUCAUGCGGAAGCUCCGUACUUGUGGAGGCGACUUAUGCUGAUAAGAAGACAAAGAAGGUAGGUACUCCUUUCUACCUACCUAACUCCAGAAUAGCGGUUCUGAAAUCGUUCGAUGUGACGUCAUCUGCACAUACGUUGCGAAAGACGAGUAGUUCAAGAAAAGGACCACUGGUCAUAUUUCUACAAAUCGCAUGAUGAUAGAUUUUGAAAUACCUACUGUUUUAUUAUAUUAAGACAUAUAUUAUAAUUAUAACGCA